CCUCCUUUCCCUCCUUUCCCUCCUUCCUUUUUUCCUUUCUCUCCCCUCUCCCUCUCUCUCCACACAGGUGAAUGUCCGAGCGCUGCCGCAGCAGGAAAAGCCCGAGCUGUUUGCGUGACUACAUGUUCAACAGGCGCCUUCCCCGCGGGGACAAUACACCCGAGGGACUGAUUUUGGAGGAGGAGGAGGAGGCUGCGGGCUGGAGUGUUUGCCCGUAGCGGGACCCCUCUGCCGGUGUUCGGGGCCUCCUCCCUCCGCUCAGCAUCCCCACCUGCGCAGCCCCGCCGGUAACGGGACCCGUUCCCGGUGCGGGCCCGGGUGGUGCCCCGGGUGCUGCGGGCCCCGAGCCGGGAGCGGGGAAAGCCCCGGAGCUGCUCGGGGGUGCCGGCGCUGCCCGGGGCUCCCUCGGCGCGCUGGGGACCGGGGGGCAGCACACUGCAGGACACGCACUCUCCUUGGGCACUCUCCUUCCAUGGAUGCGAAAAGCGCAAUUGCAGAGCCCUCCAAAUUUUCAAUAUUUUUGUUACACUUACAUCCGUCUUCUUUCUUUUUUUCUUUUAAUUUUUUUUUUUUUGGACCCGAAAUGAGCUCUUUCCUCCCCGAUUUUCUGCGGGCGCAGCUGCUGCCCGCUCCUCGUGAUUUAGGUGUUAUAACACCUUUAUUUAUUACAGAAGCCAAGUCAAAAUAUCCGAAUUAAUUUUAUUCGCAACCACUAAUUUUAUUCUCCGGGGAGUAUUACUUAAACCAUCUGAUUUAAUUGGGAAUUCGUAGAACUCGAUCAGAGCUAAUAAGAAACAUUUAAAGUAUUGCUUUAUGUUUGUUUAACGUGGAUAAAAUGUUCUCCCUUUUUCCUGGCAGUUUUGUUUGGGGUUGCUAUGAGGGUUUUUUUGGCAAAUACCUUCCCUUUGCUCCCCGAGGCAGCGCACCAACAACAACAACACAGGACGGGUUACGCAGAUUUCCCCCACUCCCUUGUCUUCCAGCUCUGACUUCAAUUAAAGGUCUGCGUUAUCCUUUCCGUUUAUGGCGGUUGAAAACUAUCUAGUUUGGAAAUAACCAUGGGAGAAAAAAACCCAAAAACAAAAAACAAAAACAAAACAAAAACAAAAAAGACAAACAAAAACCAAAAAACACAACCAAAAAAAACCAACCAGCCCAAGAGUGGGUCAGUAAUCAGCCAGUGAAACGCGGUGGUUUCUGUUGAGAGCCUCAGGCUUUCAGUAACAUCGCAAAAGGCGGUGAUGAAGUCGGAGCACGCAAGGUGCAGCAUCUCCGUGCCCAGGCCGUUUCCUGGGCUCCUGCCCCGCUCACUGUGACACGCAGAGUUGGGCUGCGCUGUCCCAGAGCCGGGCACCAAAACGCCCAGUGCCUGUUUCUGCUGCUCGCCCAAAGCCAGCAGAGGACACCCCCCCGUCCAAAACACUUGGCCAUGCGCUGGUUUUAAACGUUACACUCACUGUCAAUCCGACAUCGCAGCAAAAACGGUUUCUUAAAUAAAAAUUUUAAAAUUGCAAGAAUGUGUAACGCAACUGCGGGGCUUAGCAAGUCCUGAGGACAUUUGUCCGAAUCUCCCCCGGUUUCAGGGUCUCUGGGCGGUUUCCCAUCCCCCGGGCCCGCAGCAGCCCCGGCAGCGCCCGGAGGCGAAGCCGCCGCUCCCGGGCAGCGCCGCUCCCGGCCGGGCUCGCUCCUGACCCGCAGCCGAGGCCUCUCCUCGGGCUCGGCACCCUGCUCCGGGCUCAGCGGGACUCUGCCUUGCCGCUCUCCGGGAGGAAAGCGGCUGGAGGGGCCGCUUCCAACCGGGACCCAGCCAUUCCUGUGUUGCUCUUCUCUUACGCGGUGCGUUUAGAAAAGGAGAGCCCGGCAUCACGCUUCUCACCGGUUUGACAUUUUAACAAUAAUAAUAAUAAUAAUUUCUCCCUGUCCGUAUUUUCCUUUGAAAACUUUCGCUGUGAAACAUGCGUGAAAAUGCGCACGUUUCACAGAUUUAUUCAAACCAAGCCCCCCUGAGCUGGGAGCUCGCCCGGAGCAGCAGAGGCGCGGCCGGGACUCGCCGUGGGCUCGGGGCUCUCUCCAGCUCCGUCCCGGCUGCCGGAGCCCAGCGAGUGUGUGAGAACGGACGGGAGGCAGCGGCGAGGUGGAUGCUGCUCUCCCACCACCCCUCCCUUCUUCUUCCCUUCUCUCCUACUGCAAUUCAUUUCUGUUUGACGAGGCACAAUAAAAUCUUCUUGUACA